rnacentral:rRNA from 1 species
AAAUUUUAAAUGGCCGCAGUAUUUUGACUGUGCAAAGGUAGCAUAAUCAUUAGUUUCUUAAUUAGAAGCUUGUAUGAAAGGUUGAAUGAGAAAGUUGCUGUCUCUAUUUAAAUUUAUUAGAAUUUUAUAUUUAAGUAAAAAAGCUUAAAUACAUAUAGAAGACGAGAAGACCCUAUAGAGUUUUAUAUUAUUAUUAUUUAUAUCUUUUAGUAUUAUAAUUAUAUAAUUAGUUAUAUAUUUGAUUGGGGUGAUUAAAAAAUUUAUUGAACUUUUUUUGUAUUAUUUCAUUAAUUUAUGAAUUAUUGAUCCUUAAUUUAAGAUUAAAAGAAUAAAUUACCUUAGGGAUAACAGCGUAAUUUUUUUUAAGAGUUCUAAUCAAAAAAAAAGUUUGC